rnacentral:misc_RNA from 1 species
AUAAAGAACUUUAACCAAAGAUCAACUUAUUGAUAAAAUAAGAUUCAAGAGGGCCCCACAAAUCAGCCUUCUCCUUUCCUUUUCAGGGGACCUUCUAAUAUAUAAUCUUUCUAGUUCGGAAUUAUACAAGAUCAAUGUCCGGUCUCUUGCCAGACACUCACCCCAUAGAUACAAUAUUUGAUUUUACACGCUUUUUAAGGGGGGAUUCUUUGUCUCUCUGACAAUACCGUGAAGCGGACGAGGAGAUGUUUGGGUGCAAGUGUUUCCAUUGGAAGAGAAUCGACAAUUUGUUGCAAUCUGAACCUGACUACUUCUCUCUCCCUGCUCCUCUCCCAGAUUGGCCUCCAGGCCAAGGAUUUGCUUCUGGAAGGAUAAAUCUUGGGGAAAUUGAAGUUGUUAAAGUCUGCAGGUUUGAGUUGAUUUGGACCUGCAAUCUUUCACGGGACAAGAAGAAAGUUGUGUCAUUCUACAAACCCGUUGGAGUGCCUGAUGGAUUUUGUAGUCUUGGUCACCACUGCCAAUUUAACAAUAAGCCCUUUAGAGGUUUUCUCCUUGUGGCUAGGGAGGUUACUUUUUCUGAGACAGAAGGGACUAAUUUUGGCAGGCCUAUCAAUUCUCCUGCUCUUGAAAAGCCCCUUGAUUAUACAUUAAUCUGGAGUUCAUAUGAUGGAAGCGAGGAAAACUAUGAUGGAUGUGGUUUCUUCUGGCUACCUCAACCUCCUGAAGGUUAUAAACCUUUGGGCUAUUUAGUUACUGGGAACCCAGAGAAGCCAGAUGUGGAUGAAGUGAGGUGUGUUAGAGCAGACCUGACAGAUGAAUGUCAAGCUUAUCGCCCAAUUCUUACUUGCUGUUCCAAAAUUUCAACUUUUCCAUUUCAAGUUUGGAGCACAAGACCUAGCCAUCGAGGAACAAUGGGAAGAGGUGUUUCAGUUGGCACAUUUUUCUGCAGUAGCAACUGGAUGUCUGGAGAGAACCUCAGUAUUGUGUGCUUGAGGAAUUCAAAUCCUGAAUUACAUAGCAUGCCAAAUCUUGAACAGAUCCAUGCACUCAUCAGUCACUAUGGGCCAAGAGUUUUCUUUCAUCCUGACGAGGUCUACUUACCAUCUUCUGUUUCAUGGUUUUUCAAAAAUGGAGCACUUUUAUAUAAAGCUGGUGACUUGACAGGUGAGCCCAUUGAUGCUAGUGGCUCUAAUUUGCCUGUGGGCGGGACAAAUGAUGGGGCAUUUUGGAUAGAUUUGCCUAGUGAUGAUAGCAGAGAUACUGUCAAAUUUGGAAAUUUGGAAAGUGCAAAACUAUAUGUUCAUGUGAAGCCUGCGCUUGGUGGGACUUUCACUGAUAUUGUGAUGUGGGUAUUUUGCCCGUUCAAUGGACCAGCUACUCUUAAAGUUGGACCUGUAAAUGUUGCCCUUAGCAAGAUUGGGCAGCAUGUGUGUGACUGGGAACAUUUCACUCUCCGAAUAUGCAACUUUACUGGAGAGCUGUUGAGUAUGUAUUUCUCUCAGCACAGUGGUGGUGAAUGGGUUGAGGCUUAUGACUUGGAGUACACAGAGGGCAAUAAACCUAUUGUUUAUUCAUCAAAAAGCGGACACGCAAGCUAUCCUCAUCCCGGGACCUACAUGCAGGGGUCUGCAAAACUUGGGAUUGGAAUAAGGAAUGAUGCAGCUCGUAGUAAUUUGUAUGUAGAUUCAAGCACCAAUUAUGAAAUCGUUGCAGCUGAGUAUAUAGGAGGUGAUGUUUCCAUUGAGCCUAAUUGGUUGCAAUUUAUGAGAGAAUGGGGUCCAAAAAUUGUCUACAAUUCAAGGAAUGAGCUAGAUAAGAUCAUUAACCUUUUGCCUAUGAUGCUUAGAUAUUCUGUGGAGAACAUAUUUUAUAAGCUUCCAGUGGAGGUUUAUGGGGAAGAAGGUCCUACUGGACCUAAGGAAAAGAAUAAUUGGGUGGGAGAUGAAAGAGGCUAGGUAAUGCAUGCUGUCAUCUCUCUUGUUCCUUCACUGCUCCAAUUACAUUGUUAGAGAAUCUUUGAAUCCCAUGGCUUGUACUAUUUAUGUAGAUGUCUCAUUAUUGUAUAGGAAUUUUUAAGAUAUCAGUAUUGGUUUCCUUCUAGUUAAAGUUGUUUCUUAAAGGG